rnacentral:miRNA from 1 species
GAGGCUGAUGUGAGUAGACCACU